rnacentral:rRNA from 1 species
UACAGAGGUCUCAAGCGUUGUUCGGAUUCACUGGGCUUAAAGGGCGCGUAGGCGGACCAUCAAGUCAGGGGUGAAAGUCUUUCAGCUUAACUGGAAACGUGCCUCUGAUACUGGUGGUCUCGAGGGAGGCAGGGGCAUGCGGAACUUCCGGUGGAGCGGUGAAAUGCGUAGAUAUCGGAAGGAACGCCGGGUGGCGAAAGCGGCGUGCUGGACCUCUUCUGACGCUGAGGCGCGAAGGCUAGGGGAGCGAACGGG